GGAGAGGUGUCCGAGUGGUUUAAGGAGCUGGUCUUGAAAACCAGUGACACGAAAGUGCCAAGAGUUCGAAUCUCUUCCUCUCUGCCA
rnacentral:tRNA from 1 species